rnacentral:rRNA from 1 species
AUUGAACGCUGGCGGCAUGCCUUACACAUGCAAGUCGAACGGCAGCACGGGUGAUUGCACCUGGUGGCGAGUGGCGAACGGGUGAGUAAUACAUCGGAACAUGUCCUGUAGUGGGGGAUAGCCCGGCGAAAGCCGGAUUAAUACCGCAUACGAUCUACGGAUGAAAGCGGGGGACCUUCGGGCCUCGCGCUAUAGGGUUGGCCGAUGGCUGAUUAGCUAGUUGGUGGGGUAAAGGCCUACCAAGGCGACGAUCAGUAGCUGGUCUGAGAGGACGACCAGCCACACUGGGACUGAGACACGGCCCAGACUCCUACGGGAGGCAGCAGUGGGGAAUUUUGGACAAUGGGCGAAAGCCUGAUCCAGCAAUGCCGCGUGUGUGAAGAAGGCCUUCGGGUUGUAAAGCACUUUUGUCCGGAAAGAAAGCCUUGGCCCUAAUACGGUCGGGGGAUGACGUUACCGGAAGAAUAAGCACCGGCUAACUACGUG